UACGUAGGGUGCAAGCGUUGUCCGGAUUUAUUGGGCGUAAAGAGCUCGUAGGCGGUCUGUCGCGUCGGAUGUGAAAACCCAGGGCUCAACCCUGGGCCUGCAUUCGAUACGGGCAGACUAGAGUACGGCAGGGGAGACUGGAAUUCCUGGUGUAGCGGUGAAAUGCGCAGAUAUCAGGAGGAACACCGGUGGCGAAGGCGGGUCUCUGGGCCGAUACUGACACUGAGGAGCGAAAGCGUGGGGAGCGAACAGG
rnacentral:rRNA from 1 species